GCACCUCAUAAAGCGGGUGCCGGGAUUGCUACCCCGAUGUUCAUCAUGGCGCAUAACCGCGCUCAGGCGUUUUUUUU
rnacentral:sRNA from 1 species